AUACAUCAGAAUACAUCAGUCAUUUAUCUUUCAUCUUACUCAGAUAUUUCUCAACAAUUCAAAGAGGUUAUAAUCUAGGCUACCCGUCACCAAGAAGUCAUUUUCCUGCCACGUACAUAAUUCACCAGAAAAAACCGCUCACAAUUUAUACAACCAUAGAUUAAUAUCUGUUAAAGAACCAAUAAACUGACACAAACCCCUUAGGUUCAUA